CGGAGACUUAGGGAUUAGGUCCCACCUUGCUUCCAGUUAUAUCUUUAGGGUUUGAUUUUAGUCUUAGUGGAUGUGAUAGUUGAAAGCAUUUAUGCAGUAUAAUUAGUUAUUAGGUUCAGAUAGACUUUUAGUCUGACCUUCUCGUGUCCUACGACCUUAUUAUGCCCGCCUUAAGUAUGUUUUCGGGAUUCCCGACCUCUUUGGCUAUGGGCCAGGCACUUCUACUCCCCUCUUUUCCUAUGCCGGGUUCUUUUAACUUCUCAUUCAUGAUAUACACUUGUCAUCCGAUUAAGGCUCUUUUAUAUUUUAGUGUAUCAAUAAGGAAAUGAAGAGAAAUAAAAACCAUAAAAAAUGCUGCUAAGCAACUUAUCUGCUGACUUAUUCCAUUAUGAGGUCUAAUGUUGUAUUGAGAAGAAGCAAAAUUUGUCCCUUUUUGUUUUAAGCAGCAAAACUUGUCCUUUACGUACUAGCACAUGGGGAUUAUUGAGUACAUUGAUCAAUUGUGACAUAGGUAG
rnacentral:misc_RNA from 1 species